GCUGCUGCUGCUGCUGCUGCUGCUGCUGCUGCUGUGUCGCGGCAGCAGCGGCGGCUGCGCAAAGUGGCGGAGGCGCUGCAGUGCCACAUG
rnacentral:snoRNA from 1 species